GGAUUAGAUACCCUGGUAGUCCACGCCGUAAACGAUGUCAACUAGCUGUUGGAUCCUUUUGAGGAUUAAGUAGCGAAACUAACGUGUUAAGUUGACCGCCUGGGGAGUAUGGCCGCAAGGUUAAAACUCAAAUGAAUUGACGGGGACCCGCACAAGCGGUGGAGCAUGUGGUUUAAUUCGAUGCAACGCGAAAAACCUUACCUACCCUUGACAUCCUUAGAAGAAACCAGAGAUGGUUUUGUGCCUUCGGGAACUAAGUGACAGGUGCUGCAUGGCUGUCGUCAGCUCGUGCCG
rnacentral:rRNA from 1 species